rnacentral:rRNA from 1 species
UCAGUUCGGAUUGUAGGCUGCAACUCGCCUACAUGAAGUCGGAAUCGCUAGUAAUCGCGGAUCAGCACGCCGCGGUGAAUACGUUCCCGGGCCUUGUACACACCGCCCGUCACACCAUGGAAGUCUGCAAUGCCCGAAGCCGGUGGCCUAACCACUUAUGUGGAAGGAGCCGUCUAAGGCAGGGCAGAUGACUGGGGUGAAGUCGUAACAAGGUACC